GCCUGGCUGGCUCAGUUGGUGGAGCAUGUGACUCUUGAUCUUGGGGUUGUGGAUUCGAGCCCCAUGUUGAGUG
rnacentral:tRNA from 1 species